rnacentral:rRNA from 1 species
GGAAUCUUCCGCAAUGGGCGAAAGCCUGACGGAGCAAUGCCGCGUGAGUGAUGAAGGUUUUCGGAUCGUAAAGCUCUGUUGCCAGGGAAGAACGCUUGGGAGAGUAACUGCUCUCAAGGUGACGGUACCUGAGAAGAAAGCCCCGGCUAACUACGUGCCAGCAGCCGCGGUAAUACGUAGGGGGCAAGCGUUGUCCGGAAUUAUUGGGCGUAAAGCGCGCGCAGGCGGUCAUUUAAGUCUGGUGUUUAAUCCCGGGGCUCAACCCCGGAUCGCACUGGAAACUGGGUGACUUGAGUGCAGAAGAGGAGAGUGGAAUUCCACGUGUAGCGGUGAAAUGCGUAGAUAUGUGGAGGAACACCAGUGGCGAAGGCGACUCUCUGGGCUGUAACUGACGCUGAGGCGCGAAAGCGUGGGGAGCAAACAGGAUUAGAUACCCCAG